UACGUAGGGUGCGAGCGUUGUCCGGAAUUAUUGGGCGUAAAGAGCUCGUAGGCGGUGUGUCGCGUCGGCCGUGAAAACCUGGGGCUCAACUCUGGGCGUGCGGUCGAUACGGGCAUCACUUGAGUUCGGCAGGGGAGACUGGAAUUCCUGGUGUAGCGGUGAAAUGCGCAGAUAUCAGGAGGAACACCGGUGGCGAAGGCGGGUCUCUGGGCCGAUACUGACGCUGAGGCGCGAAAGCGUGGGGAGCAAACGGG
rnacentral:rRNA from 1 species